rnacentral:rRNA from 1 species
GCCUACAGCCAUGCCAUCCUGAAUGUGCCUGAUCCUGUCUGAUUUCGGAAGCUAAGCAAGGUCAGGCCUGGUUAGUACUUGAAUGGGAGACCACCCAGGAAUACCAAGUGCUGUAGGCA